rnacentral:misc_RNA from 1 species
AUUCGAUUACUUGAGGCGAUCUGGAACCACGCGGCGCCUCGUUCUCAUGUAAAAACACAUUACGUCAUUUUCAAGAUGGCGGUGGCGUGAUAAAGGCGAAUAUAAGAUUAUGACGCACUCACAGAGCCCAGUUAAAGACAAAAAACAGCCCGAUCAGAAAUUUAAGCUGUGGCAAGAGGAAAAACCCUCUAUGAACGUCUGGUUCGUUUUACUACCUUGUGUGGUAGCGAUUUUGGCUGCUGUAGUUGGUGUACUGAUUACCAUUUCCGUGAAACACGAGGCAAUCAAAUCCAUCGAAGCAACUGGGGAGAGACUUGUCAGUGCUUUAGUCAACGUUACACGUGGGGAGGAAAUAUGUUUCAGCUCUGAUACAAAUUUUGAAAGUUUGUCUCUGUUGUUCUGGUUGGCUUAAUUCUGAUCUGAUUGCAGUUCAUUUUUGGCAGACAGCUUAUUCUAACAGUGCAAAGAGAUUUUUGAGAAUGAAAAGUCAAAAGAGAACAAAGCUUACGUUCUCCUAUCAACCUUACGGAAUAUCCCAGUUUAUUGUCAUAUGACGGAUGACCUCGAAGCAUGCGGGGGUGGUGGAUGGACGCUAGUCAUGAAAAUUGAUGGUAACAAGUCAACCUUCCACUAUGACUCGGCAUUCUGGAGAAACACUGCUGGCUUCAACCUUCUCGGGGGAAAGACUGGAUUUGAUCAUGCCGAGACCAAGUUACCAACUUACUGAAGCACACCCUUCUCCAAGAUCUGUCUCGGCAUGAAGAUCGACAAGCAGUUGAAUUUCACUCUCGUCGAAUUUCAAACAUACUCCAGUUCACUGCACUCACUGAUCGCCGCUAAUGGAGGUACCGGCACAUCUCUUGGAGCAGAAAAAUGGAAAAACCUGGCGGGUUCUUACUCGUUACCUGUCAGUAACGUCCAGGAGGGGUUUAAUUUGCGAAGGAGUAAAAGUUCCUUUGUAACCUUUGGCAAAAUUACGGUUCCCACUGAAGAGCUUACUUAUCGUGCAAGAAUUGGCUUCAUCGGCACUUUUCACCAGUAUUUCUUAAAAAUUGGCUUUGGGACUGGACUUCCAUCUCCAAGUAAAGACCUUAGCACGUGUGGAAUCGAAACAGGAGGAGGUGAAGGAGUAGAUAGAAAAAGUAUGAAGGCUUUCGGAUACAUUCUAGUGCAGUGACAAGGGAACUAACCUGAGUCUAGGAGAUGAAAAACAAACAAUAUUUGCUUACAGGAGUUGAUCCAAAGCGUGAGUCGAUUUACGCAGGCACAGUUACACUGUGGAUCGUUGGGGCAGUCAUGAAAGUGCCAGUGCAUUAAACACCAAUGAAUCCAAAGCUAUGUGUCUGUGCAGUAAGUCAGGGAAUGAAUUUGUUUUAGCGUUGCUUAGUCCACAUGAUAAUCAAUCAUCAUUGAAUUUCCGAUUUUGGCGAUAUGAGAUUAAAAGUGAUUAAAAUUUUCUUCACAGUUUUGAUCACAUUGUUUCGAAACUGCAUUUAAUCGACAAUAGUAGUAGCUAUUACCAUAGUGCCUUCAUAGGGUGCGAAUCUAGGAAGUUUUGAUGGGGGAAGGGAUUCCUAAUUUAGAUUCGGAAUUCAAGGAAAAUGUAUCAGACUUUUCAUUAUGAAGUACGGCGAUCAUUUCGUUGCAGAACUCUUGGUGUCAGACAAGACGUAAAGUAUUUUAAAUUAGUCUUAAGGCGUACAAACUGACAAUUUUUAGCCGUGAGUCGUAAAAAUAUGGUUAACUGUAAGAGUUUUUAUUUUAAUUAUAUCGGCCGGAAAGAAACUAGUCAUUAGCCGUAAAACAACCAAAAUUUUAACCGUUAGGCGUAAAAUUAAAGCUAUAAUCUCAUUGAAACCCCCCAGAAUCAGCUACUGAUACGCAACUUUCAACUGCAGUUUAUUUCAGGAAAGAACUAGGUUUUUUCAGAGCCUGUAUUAUAGCUCUAUGGAAGUGUUAUUCAGGAUCAUAGGCGGUUGCAUACAGCGAUGUCAUUUGUUCGUUUUUCUUUCAAUUGAAUGCUGUUGUUAUCACGAGGGGGCAGUGAGGACGAAAAGUAAGCAUAAACGCAGAAAUGCAAGUGACCAAUAGGAACUCUUGGUUUCAAAUUUGCAUUGUGAUUGGUUGAAAUGAGAACGAAUGUGUUUUAAGAGCGCAUGAGGGCAAAUCCAUUGCAACUCCGGAGGACUUUCGAGACUUAACUGCAAAUUCUUCUGGAAACAGAGCACUAGGGUAGAUACAUUAAGCCAGAAAAUUUGAGCAUUAUGCAUAUGAGUGUCCCCCUCAAAACAACAGCAUUAUGCUUAAAAUUAUGCUCGAGAAUUAGCAUUACGCUCAACUGAUCUUGGUUAUA